AAAUAGUACUUUGCAGAGAGAGUUAACAGGGCGUGAAACCGUUAAUUGGCAAACGAAUCGGAGCCACGAAGGUCGUUUCGCUGAUUAGUUGGGCCAAGUUCAGUUGGCGAGCAUCACUCGCCGGCGUACUCUUGGUUCGACCUAUCCUUGUAAGCGUACACUGCAACCAGUUAGACGGUCAACUGUGGGCGCAGCGGCUCGGGUUAGUAGUAGCGCGGCGGGUUCUCGGAUCCGUUCGUGUUGCUGGGCCCGCGGUUAGUGAACUACAGUUGAGGACUGACUGGCACACUGAAAAUAGCCUCUGUGCUUGAUACAAAAUGCGGUCUACUGCACUUGAGCCUACAUCCUCGACCAUGUGGUCUAAGCUCAGCGUCUUUGAAUUUGGACUUGCUUGCUACCAAUGGGGCAACUCUUGGUGCUUGUACAGCUUCCAUCUAAUCGGGCGUUGACUUGGCCGUGUGUCGUUCGCGGGUGCUAUGCUCGGGUUUGAGUGCAAGUUGGCUCGCCAUUGAUUGGCAGUGAGUAGGUCGGCUUUCCGAACGACCCGUCUUGAAACACGGACCAAGGAGUCUAAUUAGGCAUCGAGUCGAUCGGUCUUGAAUAGGCCAGAUUAGUUGGUUUCCAACAAGUGAAGGCGAAGAGAAAUCGUGUGAUCGGGGGCAAUAGCAGGCCCUGCGCGCAACAUGUGCCUGUUCGUGUGGCAAUGUAGCAAUAAUUGCCGAGCGGAGCAAAGAGAUGCCUGAUUGGUACCCGAAAGAUGGUGAGCUUGGGCAAAUUGAAGCCAGAGGAAACUCUGGUGGAGGAUUGUAGCGAUUCUGACGUGCAAAUCGAUCGUCAGACCUGAGUAUAGGGGCGAAAGACUAAUCGAACCAUC
rnacentral:rRNA from 1 species